GCCCGGGUGGCUUAGUCGGUUAAGCGUCUGACUUCGGCUCAGGUCACGAUCUUACGGUUCGUGGGUUUGUGCCCCGCACUGGGGCU
rnacentral:tRNA from 1 species